rnacentral:rRNA from 1 species
ACGGGAGGCAGCAGUAGGGAAUAUUGCACAAUGGGGGGAACCCUGAUGCAGCAACGCCACGUGUGGGAAGAAGCAUUUCGGUGUGUAAACCACUGUCGUGAGGGAAUAAUGCUUGGCUCCGGCCAAGUUGAAUGUACCUCGAAAGGAAGCACCGGCAAACUUCGUGCCAGCAGCCGCGGUAAUACGUGGGGUGCAAGCGUUGUUCGGAAGCACUGGGCGUAAAGGGAGCGUAGGCGGAGACGCAAGCAGUCUGUGCAAUACCGGGGCCCAACCCCGGACCUGCAGACUGGACUGUGUCUCUUGUAUAGUUCAGGUGCAGGCGGAAUUCCUGGUGUAGCGGUGGAAUGCGUAGAGAUCAGGAAGAACACCGAUGGCGAAGGCAGCCUGCUGGGGACUCAACGACGCUGAGGCUCGAAAGUGCGGGUAGCAAACAGGAUUAGAUACCCUGGUA